rnacentral:rRNA from 1 species
GACGAACGCUGGCGGCGUGCUUAACACAUGCAAGUCGAACGAGUGGCGGACGGGUGAGUAAUGUCUGGGAAACUGCCCGAUGGAGGGGGAUAACUACUGGAAACGGUAGCUAAUACCGCAUAUCAUCGGAUGUGCCCAGAUGGGAUUAGCUAGUAGGUGGGGUAACGGCUCACCUAGGCGACGAUCCCUAGCUGGGCUGAGAGGAUGAACGCCCACACCUGAACUGAGACACGGUCCAGACUCCUACGGGAGGCAGCAGUGGGAAAUAUUGCACAAUGGGCGCAAGCCUGAUACAGCCAUGCCGCUUGUAUGAAGAAGGCCUUCGGGUUGUAAAGUACUUUCAGCGAGGAGGCGUUACUCGCAGAAGAAGCACCGGCUAACUCCGUGCCAGCAGCCGCGGUAAUUC